GAUGAACGCUGGCGGCGUGCCUAAUACAUGCCAGUCGAGCGAACAGACGAGGAGCUUGCUCCUCUGACGUUAGCGGCGGACGGGUGAGUAACACGUGGAUAACCUACCUAUAAGACUGGGAUAACUUCUGGAAACCGGAGCUAAUACCGGAUAAUAUAUUGAACCGCAUGGUUCAAUAGUGAAAGACGGUUUUGCUGUCACUUAUAGAUGGAUCCGCGCCGCAUUAGCUAGUUGGUAAGGUAACGGCUUACCAAGGCAACGAUGCGUAGCCGACCUGAGAGGGUGAUCGGCCACACUGGAACUGAGACACGGUCCAGACUCCUACGGGAGGCAGCAGUAGGGAAUCUUCCGCAAUGGGCGAAAGCUUGACGGAGCAACGCCGCGUGAGUGAUGAAGGUCUUCGGAUCGUAAAACUCUGUUAUUAGGGAAGAACAAAUGUGUAAGUAACUAUGCACGUCUUGACGGUACCUAAUCAGAAAGCCACGGCUAACUACGUG
rnacentral:rRNA from 1 species